rnacentral:rRNA from 1 species
GACGAACGCUGGCGGCGUGCUUAACACAUGCAAGUCGAACGGAAAGGCCCUGCUUUUGUGGGGUGCUCGAGUGGCGAACGGGUGAGUAACACGUGAGUAACCUGCCCUUGACUUUGGGAUAACUUCAGGAAACUGGGGCUAAUACCGGAUAGGAGCUCCUGCUGCAUGGUGGGGGUUGGAAAGUUUCGGCGGUUGGGGAUGGACUCGCGGCUUAUCAGCUUGUUGGUGGGGUAGUGGCUUACCAAGGCUUUGACGGGUAGCCGGCCUGAGAGGGUGACCGGCCACAUUGGGCCUGGGGUGCGGCCCAGACUCCUUCGGGAGGCAGCAGUGGGGAAUAUUGCCCAAUGGGCCGAAGCCUGAUGCAGCAACGCCGCGUGCGAGAUGACGGCCUUCGGGUUGUAAACCGCUUUCGCCUGUGACGAAGCGUGAGUGCCGGUACUGGGUAAAGAAGCACCGGCUACUACGUG